rnacentral:rRNA from 1 species
UACGUAGGGUGCAAGCGCUGUCCGGAAUUAUUGGGCGUAAAGAGCUCGUAGGCGGUCUGUCGCGUCGGCUGUGAAAACCCGGAGCUCAACUCCGGGCCUGCAGUCGAUACGGGCAAACUGGAGUGUUGCAGGGGAGACUGGAAUUCCUGGUGUAGCGGUGAAAUGCGCAGAUAUCAGGAGGAACACCGGUGGCGAAGGCGGGUCUCUGGGCCAUUACUGACGCUGAGGAGCGAAAGCGUGGGGAGCGAACAGG